rnacentral:lncRNA from 1 species
UCUCCCUUCAUCAAAAUGUUCCAUGGCAAUCCAAUGAGAUUGAUGCCUCUAAUACCUAUGUUUAUCAGAAAAUAUAAGUUUAUUCAAUUAUUGGCAUCAGUAUACAGCAUUGCAUUGCAUAAGCUAAGAAACUUUGUGGCUCUCAUUUUAAUAUGGAACCGAACUGUCUACAGCAGCACUGAAGAUGAUGCUGGUUGGUUUCGCAUUCCAAUUGAUAAGGUGGGCGAAAGCCUCUUUCUAAGCAGUCACUCUGGCAAGACUCAUGAGUGCAACCCACUAAAUCUCUGCAUGAGCGUCGUUGAACUACAAUGCAAUACAUCACAUAAUAAAAAAAUUAGUAAUACAGUCUAUAAAACAAAAAUAUUUGCUCAUAGAUUAAUUAAUUUCAACAUUUGGAAACAACAUGUAAAAUAUAAAUAAUGUUGCUUACUUGCUUGGCAGGACGGCAACGUUGAGAACAUGAACACAAUGACCAAUAAGGCAACAGCUAUGUUGUACAUGACAAUCCUUGUGUUUCUCUUGAUGAGGUGCCAUGAGGAAAAAUGUGACUUAUGUUCGAUCUUUGUUUUUCAUUUCCAUGCUCCUUUACAGGUGUUUAUAUAGACGCACAAUAAAAUCUUAGAUAUCAAUUGGUUGAUUUCAUGCAUUUAUGUACCUUCCCUAAUUAGUAUCAGCGUAUCUUGCUAGUUUUACAUAAAUACCAAAGAUUUUAUUUUGGAAAAAUAUAUAUAUUUCAUCAUUAUAGCAUUUAAUGUUGAAGAUAACAUAUUGAGCCAAAAUAAAAUCUUUAGGUAUCGGCACUACAUUUAUGUCUCCAUUAUAAAAUAGUACCCAUACCAAUCUUGUUGGCUAUUUUGUAUCAUCCACACUUAUGUAAGUAUAUCUUACAUUUAUUUUACAUUAUUUUUUGUGUGGUAUAUUGUUUUAGUAUAUACAGAGGCUUGCACAAUCAAAUCUUAUGCAUUGAUGAACCUUGCAUAUACAAGAUCUCAAAAAUAUAUAUUGCUGGAGUACUCCAUACUCAUGAAUAUUAGGUAUCAAUAUUGCACUUUUUCUGCUAAAUUAAUGUUGAUGUAUCUUACUGAAUCUUUAUAAAUAUCAUGCAAUCGUUUGUAUAUGUUAUAAUUAUUGAUAUUGUUUUUUGCGGCAUUUAUUGACCUCUAUUAUAUGGUGGCAUGUAUAAUUAUUGAUAUUGCUUAUUUUCGCUUCAUUUGUAUUAUACAUUGUUAUAAAUUUUGCACUUAUAUUCUAUCAACAAUAAAUAAAUGCUUGGACAAACGUAAGCUUGUACUUACUGACGAAUAUGCAGCCCGUCAGUAGCAACACCAUUGUAGUAAACAUUUCAGAGUUUUUCCCGUUAUGCUUAUAACCGGCUAUAAUAAUUGAUCUUUAAUGUUUCAUGCUUCAGGGUAUUAUACAAAUGUCUCCCAUUUUAUUGAACAAAUGCAAGGGCACAACAACCAAGAUCUUUCUUGUGGGUCUUGCAUAAUUGUAAACUGAUUACAUGGUUUCAUGCUUAUGCACAUCUUAUUAUUCCUUAGUUAAAGUAGGAUUUGUAGUACUUUAUGCUUGAGUUGAUGUAUGUCAUCUGAAGUAGAAUGGAGCCUGAACCAAGUUGUAUGACUUAUGUUCACUAGGUGCACAUACUGCUGCUCUUCUAUAUGGAAUGUGAUACUGGGGUAUUAAUACUUAGUGUUGCUAUCUCAGAUAUUGCUAAAAAAAUCUCCGGUUUUGUAACUUGGUACGCUUGAGUGGUGCAAUACUUUUCAACUAUUUGCAUCUUUAAUUUAAAAACAUUGUAACCCGUUGACGCUGAAAAGUGGCACGAUCAUAAAGAGUACCUUGAACUAUGUCAAGAUUAAUUCAGACUUAUUAUUGAAGUCACUAUGGGAUGGAUCUCUUCCAGAAGAUCAAAAUGGAUAUGAAGAUGGUCUAAAACAGAGCCCCGAUGCAAAAGUUGUGACAAGUUCAAAGAUUGGAUAUAGUAUUGACCCUAUAGUCUCGGUAGCCGAACCGGGACUAAAGGUAUUGGGCUUUAGUACCGACCCUAUAGUCCCGGUUCCCGAACCGGGAGAAGUGGGCCUUAUGAACCGGGACAAAUGGGACUUUUUCUACUAGUGCAUAUUGGACCUGCCCAAUAAAUAUUUCAGAAAUACAUAAUAAUCCUAGAGGCUAGUUUGGACCAUUCACGCAUGUCAAGAGGUGGGACUAAAAUUUAGUCCCACAUUGCUAGUUGAGAGAGAGUUACACCUCCACAUAAGGUGAGCUCUUUCCCCACUUUUAUGAGCAUGAUAAAAAGAGAGGUUCUCACACGCUCCUCCUUUGCCGCCCUUCUCGCCUCGCCUCGCCUCAUCACGACACACUGUGUCGCGCCACGGGCUGUGGGAAUGCCUAGAGCAUGCAUGAAGCUGAAGCGUUUUGCUGAUGUAGUUAGUGGAGAUUGGUUACGAGUUUUGUUCGGCUUUGGCUGCUACAUCUCCGUCUCCCGUCUCUUUGUUUCAUUUCCCGUCGCAGCCUACUGGCCUCCUCUUUCUGUGCUUAUAAAAUAGAGGUCUCUCCUCUCCAUAGACACACAGAAACAGAGCACCACUUGCCUCCUACUACCAAGUUCCAGAGCACUACGCUACCAGGUUCUUCCCCAUCCCGGCUUAUGGUGUGCACCGCCGAUAGGGACAGUAGGCCUCCAGAACCACGCGACAUUGAGUCAUGCACGGGUGAAGGGAAAUAAGGUGUUUGGGGAGCGCUCUAUGCGACUACUGGCUUCUCCACCCCAGAGGUCGCUACAGACGUCGAAGACACUUCCCCCAAUGAUGACUUCUUUUAGGACAUCGGCAACCUCUUCGGUAACAAGGGCGACAGCAUCACGAAUGGCGCCGCCCCUGCUCCUGUCUAGGACGUGUUCACUUCUUCUCUAUUUAAUAUGUUUUUCCUAAUUUUAGUUCAAUUUCAUGUUCUAGCAAUUGGACUAGAUAUGCCAUGUUCAAAUUCACUACUACAUAUGUUAUUUUCUCACUCUCUGAUAGACUACAUGUCUAGUUUAAUCUUUACUAUUAUGUUUAAGUUUUAUCUACUAUUUUUAUGGAUUAAAUCAUAUGGUAAACUGCUCAUAUUCCCAACAGGCCCCAUCUACAUGUAUGGGUGUAACAAACACAUCAUAUGUGGUCAGUCUUCCUUCAUCAAAAUGUUCCAUGGCAAUCCAAUAGGAUUGAUGCCUCUAAUACCAAUUUUUAUUAGAAAAUAUAAGUUUAUUCAAUUAUUGGCAUCAGUAUACAACAUUGCAUUGCAUAAGCUAAGAAACUUUGUGGCUCUCAUUUUAAUAUGGAACCGAACUGUCUACAACAGCACUGAAGAUGAUGCUGGUUGGUUUCGCAUUCCAAUUGAUAAGGUGGGCGAAAGCCUCUUUCUAAGCAGUCACUCUGGCAAGACUCAUGAGUGCAACCCGCUAAAUCUCUGCAUGAGCGGCGUUGAACUACAAUGCAAUACAUCACAUAAAAAAA